rnacentral:lncRNA from 10 species
UUCUUCUACCUCAGCCUCCCAAAUAGCUGGGAUUACAGGCACGCGCCAUCAUGCCCAGCUAAAUUUUUGCAUUUUUAAUAGAGAUCGGGUUUUGCCAUGUUGGCCAGACUGGUCUCAAACUCCUGACCUCAGAUGAUCCACCCGCCUCGGCCUCCAAAAGUGCUAGGAUUUACAGGUGUGAGCCACUGUGCCCGGCCCCAGGCUUUAUUUCAAGAAAGCAUUCUUAAGAAGCUAUGAAAUGCCUCUGAAAAUUCCUUGCAACCUUGGAGUAACUUGAUCCGGAGCCUAGACACUUGAUUCUAGUCCUUGAUUUUCUUAUCACUUUCUGUAAACAUUGAAUAAACUACUGACUCUGCAUUGCCUUAGCAAACAGAGUUUGUGUACAUACUGCAUCAUGGGGAGUUAACAAAACCAACUGAAUUCACAGUGGCUGCUAUGAUCAGGACAACUAACGUGGUUGAACUAGAAUGGAUCUUAGGAAGUCACUUUUCUUUUGCCAGUAACACAUGCAUUCUUGUGCAUGAAGCAAUGUAUGGCUGACAGCCAUCAACUGAAUUACUCAACAGCUCCUCUUUGGUGCAAUGCACUGUGUUGGACUCUGAUACCCUGAAUUCUUGAUCCUCAAGGCAUCGCCAGGACAUUGGACUUUAGGAUGCAAGAGAAGAUAAGGAAGACAAGAUCUCAACCACUUUCAGCAAAGCUUUGCGGAGAAUGCAACAUCCUUCAAGACACCAUGAAGCUCCACGCAUCUGGUCAUCUUGUUUCUUCAGGGAAUAAAUUUAUUGUUCUCUGCUUCAGGGAAAAGCAGUUACAAAGUUUCCAACCAGCACAAAUUCCAUAGUCAGGU